rnacentral:rRNA from 1 species
GUCUGUUUGACCUUAUAAACAGUCGGACCUGCCCAUUGAAACUUUUUUAAAGGCCGCGGUACACUAACCGUGCAAAGGUAGCAUAAUAAUUAGUCCUUUAAUUGAGGACUGGAAUGAACGGUCUGACAAGAAGAAUACUGUCUCAACCAUAAAAAUUGAACUUAACCUUUAAGUGAAAAGGCUUAAAUAACCAGGGAGGACGAUAAGACCCUAUAAAACUUAAUACUUAUUAAAUACACUGUUAACUAUUUGUUUAAAGCAAUUUAUUUUUCUAAUUAUUUUGUUGGGGCGACAAGAGUAUAACCAAUAACUGCUCUCAUUCUAAACAACCAUAUUUGCUCUUAACGAUCAUUAUUAAAGAUUCAAAGAAAAGUUACUUUAGGGAUAACAGCGUCAUUUUUUUUAAGAGACCUUAUCGACAAAAAAGAUUGCGACCUCGAUGUUGAAUUAAAAUAUCCUUAUGAUGUAGCAAUCAUAAAGGAAGGUCUGUUCGACCUUUAAACUUUUACAUGAUUUGAGUUCAAACCGGUGUGAG